rnacentral:rRNA from 1 species
UACGUAGGGUGCGAGCGUUGUCCGGAAUUAUUGGGCGUAAAGAGCUCGUAGGCGGCUUGUCGCGUCGGAUGUGAAAGCCCGGGGCUUAACUCCGGGUCUGCAUUCGAUACGGGCAGGCUAGAGUUCGGUAGGGGAGAUCGGAAUUCCUGGUGUAGCGGUGGAAUGCGCAGAUAUCAGGAGGAACACCGGUGGCGAAGGCGGAUCUCUGGGCCGAUACUGACGCUGAGGAGCGAAAGCGUGGGGAGCGAACAGG